UAGGGAAUCUUCGGCAAUGGACGAAAGUCUGACCGAGCAACGCCGCGUGAGUGAAGAAGGUUUUCGGAUCGUAAAACUCUGUUGUUAGAGAAGAACAAGGACGUUAGUAACUGAACGUCCCCUGACGGUAUCUAACCAGAAAGCCACGGCUAACUACGUGCCAGCAGCCGCGGUAAUACGUAGGUGGCAGGCGUUGUCCGGAUUUAUUGGGCGUAAAGCGAGCGCAGGCGGUUUCUUAAGUCUGAUGUGAAAGCCCCCGGCUCAACCGGGGAGGGUCAUUGGAAACUGGGAGACUUGAGUGCAGAAGAGGAGAGUGGAAUUCCAUGUGUAGCGGUGAAAUGCGUAGAUAUAUGGAGGAACACCAGUGGCGAAGGCGGCUCUCUGGUCUGUAACUGACGCUGAGGCUCGAAAGCGUGGGGAGCAAACAGG
rnacentral:rRNA from 1 species